CCAGUGAACUGUAUGCUUCUUGAAAACAGUACUGUGUCUUAAUCAUCUUGAUUCCACAAUGCCUAGAUGGGGCCUUUUGCAUAGCAGACAUUUUGCUAAUGUUAGUGGAAUGAAGUAAUUCUCUCUGAAAAGAUGAAUCAUAAAUGCACUACUCAUGAGCCAGGGAAUUUCCUGAGUCUCUUCUUAAAACCCAGGUGAAUUCUUGUGGAAAUAUGACUGAACCUUAACUGUUUCUAACCACAGUCAUACAUUUCCAGGGUAUCAUAAAGCUGGUACCAUUAUGAGACAUUUAUGUGUGUAUUAUAUAAUAAGGUAAGGUCUGUCAAGUGACCACACCACAAUGCUUGGUGGCCAGUAGGCACACAAUAGAUGCUAGCCUUUGUUUCCUUUUUCUGAUUCUCCUAGGUUUUAUGUCAGAGUCACUAUAAGAAUUACUAAGGAUAGGGGAAAUUGCCUUUCUGUUUGGACAAAUAUUCAUAGCAGUUAAAGAUUCUGUUUUGACAUGCCCAGAUUUAGAAUUCUGCAGGAAAACAGAAGUCAGAGCAGCUGGCAGGCUGAACUGGUACACAGUAUAACCCAGACAGUAGACCUGCCCAGUGUCACAGUAUUUUCUGGGCUGACUGUUCUAGUCACAAGGUACUCAAGAAUUUUAUUCACAUACACAAACACACACACACACACACACACACGCACACACACGGUCUUUGAUUUAGUGGUUCAGACUAGCUCUGUUUUCAGAAGUUACUUCUUUGUCAAAGACGAUAGCCUUUAUACUCUUUAAUUUGAUUUUAUGCCCUUUUAAGCUACCUUAUUUAGAAGGAGCAGAGUGUAUAAAAGCUGUUCCUGGCAAAGGGCCGCAGCAGCCUAAUAAACAAAUCUGACAGGAGCCCAGUUUGUUACUAAGCCAAGAAUAACGUUUCUCUCUAUUCUGACUAAUGAGAUUCCUAAAACUUAACGAUUUUUUCUUGAUUUUUGGUAUUAAUUAUAUUUGAUUGUCAUAUUACUGUGUUUAGUGUGUCAAAAUACAGUCUUGAAAAUGAUAAGUAUUAUCUCUGAAUCCUUUUUUUUUUUUCCAUUCAAGAUAAGCUGUCAUUGGAAGGAAUAGUGGUACAAAGAGCUGAGUGCCGACCAGCUGCCAGUGAAAACUACAUGCGAUUAAAAAGAUUGCAAAUAGAAGAGUCUUCCAAACCUGUGAGGCUAUCACAACAGCUGGACAAAGUUGUAACAACCAAUUACAAACCUGUUGCUAAUCAUCAAUACAAUAUUGAAUAUGAAAGGAAAAAGAAAGAAGACGGAAAGCGAGCUCGAGCUGAUAAACAACAUGUUUUAGACAUGCUAUUUUCAGCCUUUGAGAAACAUCAAUA
rnacentral:sRNA from 1 species